UUUCCGUAGGUGAACCUGCGGAAGGAUCAUUACUGGGUUUUGAAUGAAGUUGUUCUGGUCUUUCGGGGCAAGUGAACGCUUCUCUCAAUCCAUCUCACACUUGUGCACCUAUCGGGGAAGACUUGGAUCUAAGUUGGGUCACGACGGCGAUCUACAGUCUCCUCUUUAUACCAAAUAACAGUUUUAGAAAGUCUUUUUUGCUUGAUGCAAACUUAAAUAAAUACAACUUUCAGCAACGGAUCUCUUGGCUCUC
rnacentral:misc_RNA from 1 species